GAUGAACGCUGGCGGCGUGCCUAAUACAUGCAAGUCGAGCGAACAGGCGAGGAGCUUGCUCCUCUGACGUUAGCGGCGGACGGGUGAGUAACACGUGGAUAACCUACCUAUAAGACUGGGAUAACUUCGGGAAACCGGAGCUAAUACCGGAUAAUAUAUUGAACCGCAUGGUUCAAUAGUGAAAGACGGUUUUGCUGUCACUUAUAGAUGGAUCCGCGCCGCAUUAGCUAGUUGGUAAGGUAACGGCUUACCAAGGCAACGAUGCGUAGCCGACCUGAGAGGGUGAUCGGCCACACUGGAACUGAGACACGGUCCAGACUCCUACGGGAGGCAGCAGUAGGGAAUCUUCCGCAAUGGGCGAAAGCUUGACGGAGCAACGCCGCGUGAGUGAUGAAGGUCUUCGGAUCGUAAAACUCUGAUAUUAGGGAAGAACAAAUGUGUAAGUAACUAUGCACGUCUUGACGGUACCUAAUCAGAAAGCCACGGCUAACUACGUG
rnacentral:rRNA from 1 species